rnacentral:rRNA from 1 species
AAGCGGAGGAGGGUCCCGAGAGGCCCUCGGGGCCCCGCAUCCUCAGGACCCCAGGCUCGCGUCCGGCUGCCCGCCGGAGUGCAGACACAAACUCUUGAUAAUUUAUGUCCCUCUGAGUAAACUUUUAAAUAAGUCAAAACUUUCAACAACGGAUCUCUUGGUUCUGGCAUCGAUGAAGAACGCAGCGAAAUGCGAUAAGUAAUGUGAAUUGCAGAAUUCAGUGAAUCAUCGAAUCUUUGAACGCACAUUGCGCUCGCCAGUAUUCUGGCGAGCAUGCCUGUUCGAGCGUCAUUUCAACCAUCAAGCUCUGCUUGCGUUGGGGAUCCGCGUCUGACGCGCUCCCUCAAAAACAGUGGCGGGCUCGCUAGUCACACCGAGCGUAGUAACUCUACAUCGCUAUGGUCGUGCGGCGGUUCUUGCGGUAAAACCCCCAUUUCUAAGGGUGACCUCGGAUCAGGUAGGAAUACCCGCUGACUUAAGCAUAUCAUA